AAUCCUUACACAACACCUAUCCCCCUUUUAAAAUAAUAAAAAGUCAAUCUGAGUCUUGGCUAACGUAUUUUGGAAGGUGAUCAAGUAAUCCUCCUUCUUUGAAAAGCUCAAAUUUACUAUCACCAUCUCAAAGUCCCUCACAAAAUCCAACAGAGCAACUCCCUUUUCAUUUAUUUCCCUAAAACCAAUAUCUCCAUGCACAUCGCCAUAGCCUCCUGGUAACACCCUGUUGU
rnacentral:lncRNA from 1 species